rnacentral:tRNA from 1 species
GUCCUCGUGGAGCAGUCCGGAGUGCUCGCCGCCCUGUCACGGCGGAGAUCGGGGGUUCAAAUCCCCUCGAGGACG